rnacentral:rRNA from 1 species
GGUGCGUAACGCGUGGGAAUCUGCCCUUGGGUUCGGAAUAACAGUGAGAAAUUACUGCUAAUACCGGAUGAUGUCUUCGGACCAAAGAUUUAUCGCCCAGGGAUGAGCCCGCGUAGGAUUAGCUAGUUGGUGGGGUAAUGGCCUACCAAGGCGACGAUCCUUAGCUGGUCUGAGAGGAUGAUCAGCCACACUGGGACUGAGACACGGCCCAGACUCCUACGGGAGGCAGCAGUGGGGAAUAUUGGACAAUGGGCGAAAGCCUGAUCCAGCAAUGCCGCGUGAGUGAUGAAGGCCUUAGGGUUGUAAAGCUCUUUUACCCGGGAUGAUAAUGACAGUACCGGGAGAAUAAGCUCCGGCUAACUCCGUGCCAGCAGCCGCGGUAAUACGGAGGGAGCUAGCGUUGUUCGGAAUUACUGGGCGUAAAGCGCGCGUAGGCGGCUGCUCAAGUCAGAGGUGAAAGCCCGGGGCUCAACCCCGGAACUGCCUUUGAAACUAGGUAGCUAGAAUCUUGGAGAGGUCAGUGGAAUUCCGAGUGUAGAGGUGAAAUUCGUAGAUAUUCGGAAGAACACCAGUGGCGAAGGCGACUGACUGGACAAGUAUUGACGCUGAGGUGCGAAAGC